CCAAGAUCCUCUACUGGGAGGCCACACUCGCCUUUGCUCCAUAGACCAGCGGGCAGUGGUGCUGGCGGCCGCUCCAUUCUGAGGAAGGGUCAAGGCCGCCAUGCUCUCUUGAAGGCAAACGGGAGGCUCAGGUCAACCCCCAGAUGCCAGUGCGCACGCUUCCAAGUCACCCGGGAGCCUCGGGGACCAGCGUUCACAAGGUGCACAGAGAGCUGGGCUGAGGCCGUAGUGGAACACCAGUGCUGUGCCUUCGACGAGCUCCCCGGGCCAUCGAGGGCACCGGUGUGGACGUUCAGUUUCCUUGGAGGGCCUCCCUCAUUCCCUCCCACCAAAAAGGGGGUUCAUCCCAACAGCACCCCCAUAAGUCAUGAAAAUCUCUUACAGCGUGUUUCCUGGAAACUUCAGGCAGAAGCGGAAGGGAGCUGACAUCAGCAGGAUGCUUCUUUCUUUCCUUUUUCUUUUUUUUUUUUUUAAGAUCGUCUCAUUUAAUGCAAUAA